ACGCUGGCGGCGUGCCUAAUACAUGCAAGUCGAACGGUCUUUUCUAUGGAAGCUUGCUUCCACUGAGAAGAUAGUGGCGAACGGGUGAGUAACACGUGGGUAACCUGCCCAUAAGAGGGGGAUAACAUCCGGAAACGGGUGCUAGUACCGCAUAGUUUUCUUGAUCGCAUGAUUGAGAAAGGAAAGACGGCCUUUGUGCUGUCGCUUAUGGAUGGACCCGCGGCGUAUUAGUUAGUUGGUGAGGUAACGGCUCACCAAGACGAUGAUACGUAGCCGACCUGAGAGGGUGAUCGGCCACAUUGGGACUGAGACACGGCCCAAGCUCCUACGGGAGGCAGCAGUAGGGAAUCUUCCGCAAUGGACGAAAGUCUGACGGAGCAACGCCGCGUGAGUGAAGAAAGGUUUUCGGAUCGUAAAACUCUGUUGUCAGAGAAGAACAAGUUGGAGAGUAACUGCUCCAGCCUUGACGGUAUCUGACCAGAAAGCCACGGCUAACUACGUGCCAGCAGCCGC
rnacentral:rRNA from 1 species